rnacentral:rRNA from 1 species
UACAGAGGUCCCGAGCGUUGUUCGGAAUUAUUGGGCGUAAAGGGUGCGUAGGCGGUACGGUAAGUUAGAUGUGAAAUGUCGGCGCUUAACUCCGAAACUGCAUUCGAUACUGCCGUGCUUGAGGACUGGAGAGGAGACUGGAAUUUACGGUGUAGCGGUGAAAUGCGUAGAUAUCAGGAGGAACACCGGUGGCGAAGGCGGGUCUCUGGGCCGAUACUGACGCUGAGGAGCGAAAGCGUGGGGAGCGAACAGG